GGGAGAGUGGACAUUCAGAAAGAAAGGGGCUGGUGGAGCCUGGGCUGCCUCCACCGGGAGAACCAUGUGUCCACCAGGCACAUGGGUUCCCAGCACUGGGGAUGAGUGUGACAGGACUUAGAAACCAGUGUCUAUUGGCCAUACUUUCAUUUGGAAGUAGGCGAGUAGAGCCAUCUUACCUGAGUGGGAAACUGCAGCUGACCGAGCCAGAAGCCACCCCGUCUGUGAAAUCAAAAAGCUGGACUGUGGCUGUUUACUUAAACAGCAUUUUUUCCUCAACUUCAAUCAAGAGAGUACCUAUGAAUAAUAAACAAUUUAAAUAAAUAAACCUAGCUCCAAUCUUCUCAAGAAGUAGUUGCUUUCAACAACUGUACAAAGAUAACACUGAGUCUGUCAGACAUGACAAAUGGGGGUCUAGUGGGGAAACGGGACGUUUGAAAAAGAAGGUUCAGGACAUGUGGACGGUGUGCAGGACAAGGCCAGAGCUCCUCUCUCCCAGGAGCCCUGGGCAGCACGGGGCCACGAGCUCAACCCUGGCUCCUAAGCCAAGGAAGAGUCCUGGACAGUGUGGAGGCUGCCGUCUACGACAUGAACACCCGACAGGGCACAGGACCCUCCUUUCGGGGAGAACAGCGUCGUCACCCCUCGUGCUCAUUCAGUCAGUCACCAUCCACACCCACCCGUCGGGGCACACUCCCAGAACUCCAAACAGCACCCCGCACAGGAUGGGGCCUAAGGAGCUUGUGCCCCAUGGACGACUCUUUUCACCUGCCAGGAAGGUGAGGGACAAACUGCCUCCACCUGUCCUGCCAAGACGGCAGGCAGAGGCCACACACCUACCUGUCCAGGUGAUAGGCAGGUGCAAGGCACAUACACACAUGCACCUGGACCAGGUGACGUGUAGGAACACACACAGGACACCAGGAAGCAGACGUAGAACUCCAGGAGGAGCAGGACGGUCACACCCCUAGGACAGAUGACACACAGUCCCUGCAGGCUGGGCCAGGUGAGGUGUGCCCAGAGGAUGCCAGGGGCCCCGG
rnacentral:lncRNA from 1 species